rnacentral:lncRNA from 1 species
GACGCUGCCAUCGGGAGAUAAAGGCGUCAAAGCGCAUCUCAUUGCAUAGAGCAAAAAUUAAAAAAAAAGAGAGCAGAGUGGAGAAGCCCUCCAAGAGGAGGAACUCAAUUUUAUUGAUUAAAUGUUUCUUAAAGACAGGAGGAAAAGGAAAAAUUACAAUGAAAGAAAAAUACAAGGUCAGAGGUCUCAGACCUCUGGGAUAGGAGUGGGGG